rnacentral:rRNA from 1 species
GAUGAACGCUAGCGGCAGGCCUAACACAUGCAAGUCAGGGGUAACAUAGAAAAGCUUGCUUUUCUGAUGACGACCGGCGCACGGGUGCGUAACGCGUAUACAACCUACCUUUUAGCGGGGAAUAGCCCAGGGAAACUUGGAUUAAUGCCCCAUAGUAUAUAGACUUCUCCUAAAGUUUAUAUUAAACAUUUAUGGCUAUUAGAUGGGUAUGCGUCCUAUUAGUUAGUUGGUAAGGUAACGGCUUACCAAGGCAGCGAUAGGUAGGGGUCCUGAGAGGGAGAUCCCCACACUGGUACUGAGACACGGACCAGACUCCUACGGGAGGCAGCAGUGAGGAAUAUUGGACAAUGGGCGAGAGCCUGAUCCAGCCAUGCCGCGUGCAGGAAGACUGCCCUAUGGGUUGUAAACUGCUUUUACAGAGGAAGAACCACCCUCACGUGUGGGGGUUUGACGGUACUCUGCGAAUAAGGAUCGGCUAACUCCGUG